rnacentral:lncRNA from 1 species
AAGUAAGGAUUGAAUAGAGGGGAAUUUCAUAUGCAUUAACAUUUUUAGUAUAUAUUAGAGAACUAAUGAGCUAGGAUAUCAUUAGAAAUUACAACGUUAGAGAGUAAGCUUCCCUGUAUAUAACGUACUCCAAAACUGAGACUUUUUACUCUCCACAUCUUUUUAUAAAACCUGAAAAAGGCCAAUUAAGCCGUACCCCAUUGACUUAUUGACAUUAAUUUUGGAUUCUGUCAUGCUUAAAAGUAUAUAAAAAUAACUUAAAAAAAUUUGGAGCUGACGAAUCAGGUACUUGUUG